UCCACUCCCUGUGACUUGUUACGCAGC
rnacentral:piRNA from 1 species